rnacentral:rRNA from 1 species
AUGCUACUGCACGAGGUGCACCUGGAUGAGCUCACCAAGGAUGACAUCCUAUGGAAGCACACAGAAUCUGGGCACUACUCCGCGGCCUCCGCUUACAAGGCACAAUUUUUGGGCUUGGUCCUCUCCCCCAUGAACCAAAUGGUCUGAAAGGCUUGGCCACCAAAAGUCAAGUUCUUUGCUUGGCUCGCGCUUCAGGAUAGGAUCUGGACUGCUGAAAGAUUGGAGAAGCGAGGAUGGCCUAACUGUGGCCCCUGCCCCUUGUGCCGACGGGUGCAGGAAUGUGGCCCUCAUCUUUUUUUCAGAUGCCGCUUCACUCUCAGGCUUUGGAACAUGGCUAUUCAGAAAUUUCGCACUUGUUUUGACUCCGUUCAUGCCUGGUGGGCGAGCACAUGCACCACGGGCCCCUGCCCCUUCGAUUACCAUGCUAGUGUCAUGGGUCAUCUGAAAUAA